rnacentral:sRNA from 1 species
CUGGUAAUCCUGGAGUCUAAAGUCCUCUACUUAUUCACACAGCAAGUCCCGAGCAGGCACCAGCAGCGGACGGUUCCCCGCACUGCUCCACCAAUGUGCUUCAAACGGGACCAGCAAGUUUCCCCUGAAGGAGUAAAAGCGUCCUCAGCCCUUUCAACCCUUGGCCUCU